UACGAAGGGGGGCUAGCGUUGUUCGGAAUUACUGGGCGUAAAGCGCGUGUAGGCGGGUCUUUUAAGUCAGGGGUGAAAUGCCAAGGCUCAACCUUGGAACUGCCUUUGAUACUGGAGAUCUUGAGUCCGGGAGAGGUGAGUGGAAUUGCGAGUGUAGAGGUGAAAUUCGUAGAUAUUCGCAAGAACACCAGUGGCGAAGGCGGCUCACUGGCCCGGAACUGACGCUGAGACGCGAAAGCGUGGGGAGCAAACAGG
rnacentral:rRNA from 1 species